rnacentral:misc_RNA from 1 species
UCUCCGUUGGUGAACCAGCGGAGGGAUCAUUACAGGACUCGCAAGACUCCUUCACCCUGUGAACCUCACUACAAGCACGUUGCUUCUGCGGGUGUCCCGGCGGGUAUUUUCCUUCGCCGGGGCGCACAGCCCGCCGGCAGCCUACUAUACUCUGUCUCUUUGCGUUGGCAUCUAGAGAAAAAACAAACAAGUUAAAACUUUCAACAACGGAUCUCUUGGUUCUG